AGCCUAGGGAAAAUUAUCCUAGGUGAAACCUGCCCGGUGACUAGAUUUUAACGGCCGCGGUACUUUGACCGUGCUAAGGUAGCGUAAUCAGUUGACUUUUAAAUGAAGUCUUGUAUGAAUGGAUUUAUGGGAUUAAGCUGUCUCUUUUGUAUUCUAUUGAAAUUACUAAUUAGGUGAAAAGGCCUAUAAAUGAAAAAAGACGAGAAGACCCUUAGAGUUUUAAUAAAUAGGUUUUUGUUGGGGCGACAAGAAGACAUAUAUAACUCUUCUAUUAGAAAAAUACUUGCCGGUUCUUUUAAGUAUGAAUAAACUACCUUAGGGAUAACAGCAUAAUCCAGUUUGGGUUUGUGACCUCGAUGUUGGACUAGGAAAAUUAUGCCCUAGCAGGGUGUAUAUUUAGGUUCUGUUCGAACUUUUAUUCCU
rnacentral:rRNA from 1 species